rnacentral:rRNA from 1 species
UAGGGAAUAUUCCGCAAUGGGCGAAAGCCUGACGGAGCAACGCCGCGUGAGUGAUGAAGGUCUUCGGAUCGUAAAACUCUGGUAUUAGGGAAGAACAAAUGUGGAAGUAACUAUGCACGUCUUGACGGUACCUAAUCAGAAAGCCACGGCUAACUACGUGCCAGCAGCCGCGGUAAUACGUAGGUGGCAAGCGUUAUCCGGAAUUAUUGGGCGUAAAGCGCGCGUAGGCGGUUUUUUAAGUCUGAUGGGAAAGCCCACGGCUCAACCGUGGUGGGUCAUUGGAAACUGGAAAACUUGAGUGCAGAAGCGGGAAGUCGAAUUCCCUGUGUCGCGGUGAAAUGCGCAGAGAUAUGGAGGAACACCAGUGGCGAAGGCGACUUUCUGGUCUGUAACUGACGCUGAUGUGCGAAAGCGUGGGGAUCAAACAGG